GUGAGGAAUAUUGGACAAUGGAGGAAACUCUGAUCCAGCCAUGCCGCGUGAGUGAUGAAGGCCUUCGGGUUGUAAAGCUCUUUCGGGUGUGAAAAUGAUGAUGGUAACACCAGAAGAAGCCCCGGCUAACUCCGUGCCAGCAGCCGCGGUAAUACGGAGGGGGCGAGCGUUGUUCGGAAUCACUGGGCGUAAAGCGUGCGUAGGCGGUUAUACAAGUCAGGAGUGAAAUCCCAGGGCUCAACCUUGGAAUUGCUUAUGAGACUGUAUGACUAGAGAUCUAGAGAGGUUGGGGGAAUUCCGAGUGUAGAGGUGAAAUUCGCAGAUAUUCGGAGGAACACCAGUGGCGUAGGCGCCCAACUGGCUAGAUACUGACGCUGAGGCACGAAAGCGUGGGGAGCAAACAGGAUUAGAAACCCCAGUAGUCC
rnacentral:rRNA from 1 species